GCCUUUGUAGCUCAGUGGACAGAGCGCCGGUCUUCGGAACCGGGCGUCGGGAGUUCGAAUCUCUCCAGAGGUACCA
rnacentral:tRNA from 1 species